ACGAAUUGUCCACAUAAGAAUAGAGGUUUCAUAAGACAGAGGUCCAGUUAACUAGAUAAGCGGCAGGAUCAAAGUGCUAACCUGAGGAUUAUACAAUCGUCUUAAAAGAUGAACACCAAGUCUAUGAUAAUCCUGGUACUAUGUGGCCUUAUGGCACUACAGAUGACACAAGUUGAAGGUAUUUGCUACACCUAUGUUUGCCGAAGACGAUGUGUAUACACGCCCCCUCGGUAUGAGGAAUACGCCUUCCGCUACUUGUGGCCAAGAGCAUGUGGUCGUGUCGCUGUACAAAGAUACGGAAUAAAGGCAUGUUGCGUAACCUACGGGCGAUACUAGACUGAAAUCACAUCGACCAUGUGGUCAGAGAUUUAUGUUUCUGGUCACAUGACGAGAACUGGUGGUUGGUCAAUUGUUCCGCAAGAACUAUUUUCUCUGCGUAAUGCUACUUGCUAUGUUGUAACACGUUUGUCUUUUUAUGCUGUAAUUUGUCAUUUGAGUGCACUAUUUGUUGUUGUUAGCUUUGUGUUCAAAAUUGUCCAUUCAUUAUUUAUUGAAAAUGUAAAAAUCUCUUAAUAAAGAUUUUAAAGAAAAACAGA